rnacentral:lncRNA from 1 species
CUUGCAGGCUCCUGCAUUAUGCCAACACAGGGUACCCAUGGCUCUUGUCAGUGUUCACUGAGAUGACUAAAUGGCAAGGUGUGUUAAUACAUGUUAAAACUACAGUGCAAAUUUGCCACAAAACAUUGACAUUGUAACAUCUGCAAAGGAGUCAUCAUCAUGUCAAUAACAAGAGAGAGAAAGAAAACUGAAGCAAAAACCUGUGACUUCAGGACAACUGGAAAAGACAGGGACUUCAAACUAUAUAGUGAAAAAGAGCUAACCAAUUGGGUUGCCUGAUCUCAUGGAGACAAUCCUCACAGCUGAGACUAUUAACUUGUACUCAUAGAGGAUGCAGAUGCCAUCUUGGGUGUGGCGGGUGAGAUUGCUGGCAUAGCAUCUCCUUGCCACUAACCUUAUGUAGGGAUACUAUGGGGAAGACCCAGAUAUUCAAUCACAGUUUCUCUUGGAAGAGAUGUGCAAUACUAUCUAAUUAAGACAUGUUGUACCUGGUUCUGAGCAACCUCGGACUUUAGUAGAGACAACUCAUUUGCAACAGAGGAGAAGCAUGGGGGCCCCAAUGCCCACUUUUGAAUAUAGCACCUCCAAUUCUUAGCUAACACUUUGUUUGUAAAAGGGUUUUAGUGCUAAUGUUUGUAA